AUACCUACCUGGCGUAGAGAGAUACCGUGAACAUGCAGGCGGUUCCUCCAGGGCGAGGCUGCUCCAUUGCACUGCGGAGUGGUUGACCCUUGCGAUUUUUUUUUUAUCAAUAAAAAAUCACAAUAAUAUAUAACCCGAAUAAUUAUUUUCUUUAUAU